rnacentral:tRNA from 1 species
GAAGGUAUAGCUCAGUAGUAGAGUGCAUGCUUAGCAUGCACAGGUGCUGGGUUCAGUCCCCAGUACCUCCA